GACGAACGCUGGCGGCGUGCUUAACACAUGCAAGUCGAACGGAAAGGCCCUUCGGGGUACUCGAGUGGCGAACGGGUGAGUAACACGUGGGUGAUCUGCCCUGCACUUUGGGAUAAGCCUGGGAAACUGGGUCUAAUACCGAAUAGGACCACGCGCUUCAUGGUGUGUGGUGGAAAGCUUUUGCGGUGUGGGAUGGGCCCGCGGCCUAUCAGCUUGUUGGUGGGGUAAUGGCCUACCAAGGCGACGACGGGUAGCCGGCCUGAGAGGGUGACCGGCCACACUGGGACUGAGAUACGGCCCAGACUCCUACGGGAGGCAGAAGUGGGGAAUAUUGCACAAUGGGCGCAAGCCUGAUGCAGCGACGCCGCGUGAGGGAUGACGGCCUUCGGGUUGUAAACCUCUUUCACCAGGGACGAAGCGUAAGUGACGGUACCUGGAGAAGAAGCACCGGCCAACUACGUG
rnacentral:rRNA from 1 species